AUCUUGUUCCAGGAGCUGUUGCCGGUGUUAUUAAAAUUUGAGAGGAAAACAAACGCAGCUCAGUCCCCUGGAGCUGCAAGUUCACCUCUGGGUCAGCUCUACACCGGUGGCUGUAAAUGGCUGAAAUUGCAGUCUACUAUGAGACAAUGUCACAAAGAGUUGUAUUGGGAUAUUGGACUUAAUUUCAACACUCAUAACCAUGGUAGCAUCAUCCAUUAUGACUAUGAUAAUGGCAAGUCAGCCCAGCUCCAAAUGGAGGAUUCUCAAGUAGUGAGUGGACAGAUCUUCCUUCCAUGUAAACAUUUAUUUGACGCAUCUUUAAGACUGGUGUAUACCAUGACACAUUUCUGUGACCCAG